AUAAUUAAGAGGCAAGUAUAAUAGGGAAAAAAUUGAAGUGCAGAUAAUUACAUGGAGAGAAUUUCUACUUAGGUAGAUUUGGAAUUUCUUAGAAAUAAAGUUACUGAAACUCUUGGCUUGAAAAACAAUCAUGUACUAAGAAGGAAUUAUAGUUUUAAUUUUGUUUAGUUUACAGAAAAGCGAAGAGAACUGAAGUUUGAUGGUCGUUUAGAUAAAGAACUUUCAGAAUCUUACGCAUUUCUGAUGGUUGAUCGAUACCAGGUUCAAAGCAUAUGUGAAAAAGGAUUACAAGUGGGCCAGUCCAAAAUAACAAUUCUUGGCAGUCCUUCCAUGGGUAAUUUUUUUUCUUUUUUCAUUUAUGUACUAUUUAGUUGACAUUUA